rnacentral:rRNA from 1 species
UGAGGGAAUAUUUGGGGUCAAUGGACGGGAGUCUGAACCAGCCAAGUAGCGUGCAGGAUGACGGCCCUAUGGGUUGUAAACUGCUUUUAUAGGGGGAUAAAGUGUGUCACGUGUGGCAUAUUGCAGGUACCCUAUGAAUAAGGACCGGCUAAUUCCGUGCCAGCAGCCGCGGUAAUACGGAAGGUCCGGGCGUUAUCCGGAUUUAUUGGGUUUAAAGGGUGCGCAGGCGGCGCGAAAAGUCAGCGGUCAAAGUUCCGGGCUCAACCCGGUGACGCCGUUGAAACUUUCGUGCUGGAGUUCGUGCGAGGGAGGCGGAAUGCGUUGUGUAGCGGUGAAAUGCAUAGAUAUGACGCAGAACCCCGAUUGCGAAGGCAGCUUUCCAGCACGCGACUGACGCUGAGGCACGAAAGCGUGGGGGAGCGAACAGGGAUUA